GGGUCAAACAGCUCACCUGCAGCCAUUGGCACUUGAACCAAGUCAGUCUGGCGCAAACCCCAGACGCCUCAGCAGAUGUUCCGGUGAUGUUGUCACCUCCACCCCACCACCCCUGCCCUGAACCCCAACAUCCGCCGAUCACUUCCCCUCUGAGCUUUGGGCUCUCAGCUCCCCCUGGCAGAAGCAGUCAGAAGCUCUUCGGAAGGCUACCCACGCUGCCCAGGCACGGGGUCCCGGAUCAUCGAGGAGGAAGUGCAAAGAAAUUAGGUCCUAGCUGGAAUUGAUUUCCUAUCGACUGACUUCUGAUUUGCUAGUUUGAGGAAAAUAUUUCCUGCUUCUGCGGAUCAGCUAAGCCUGCAAAGCCAGGCCCAUGGCCAGUACUCAGUAAAUGUUUGCUGACUAACUCACUGGACUCUGGAGAGUUUCUGGUCCUGCUGUCAUUUAAUAGUUAAGAGAAACAGAGGCACAGAGUAGAAGAGGAAGUCACCGGCCUGCUGUUUGACUCUGGCCCAGACCUUCUGUUUCCCUCCCCUGAGCAGGGACGGGGUUGGGGGGGCAUAUGGAGGGAAGGAGAAGACGGGCUCAUGGUGGGCUGACCUUGGCUGCUCGUAUGUGCCAGGAGAGACAGGGGCGCUGGAUCAGGAGACACCGGGCAGGGGACGGUGGUGUGAUGCUUGCGGCCCUGUACACCAUGGACAUUCUAUUCUGCCCACGCCAGCUGGGUACUGACUCCGUACCCAGCCCUGUGUCGAUAUGUGUCAUUUCCUUGGAGCUUUGUAGCUCCCCUCUUUGGAGGGUUGCUAGUAUUGGGCCCAAGUUACAGAAGAGGAAACCGAGGCUCAGCGUGGUGAUGUGGCCCGCCCAAGGCCACACAACCAGGAAGUUAUAAAUCUGGGAUUCAAAGCCAGGUCUCUGCUUCCAAAACCCAGGGUCAUUCACCACCAGCCUACACCAUCCUCAGGACCAGACAACCAAAUGGAGCUGGGGAAAGACUAAGACCUAUAGCGGGCACGGGGCCGAUACAGAUGUGAGAGGCACAUUCCUCUCUCAGGGAGCAGGAGGUCUGUUUGGAACACGCAAAUAAAGACGCAAGUGAAUGUAA